rnacentral:lncRNA from 1 species
GUCAUAUGUGAGCUUGUAUUUCUGUUGGUGUUCUAGUCCUGCUUGUCUGCACUUCUAGGUAUGGCUGUAGACACAGCUAGUGCCAGGCUGCUUAUAUCUGGUGUAUGGAAUGAGCUGAGCCAUGCUGUCUGUGUUCCUGUGAUUUCUAGACAAGGCAAAGCAGCUGGAGCUGGUGAUAAGGAUCUGGCUGUGAUUUGGGAUCUGCAGCUUGGAGAUGGAAUUACAACACUGAUGGUCCUAAGUGCAAGCCUAAACUGUAGCACACUCCUUAGGGCUGAUCUGAGGCGAUGUUUGAAGACUGACUUACAAACCUGUGCUGGGAACGCUGCCUGGGUGGCACUCUGA